AUUGAACGCUGGCGGCAGGCCUAACACAUGCAAGUCGAACGAGUGGCGGACGGGUGAGUAAUGUCUGGGAAACUGCCUGAUGGAGGGGGAUAACUACUGGAAACGGUAGCUAAUACCGCAUACCAUCGGAUGUGCCCAGAUGGGAUGAGCUAGUAGGUGGGGGAAAGGCUCACCGAGGCGACGAUCCCUAGCGGGUCUGAGAGGAUGACAAGCCACACUGGAACUGAUACACGGUCCAGACUCCUCCGGGAGGCAUCAGUGGGGAAUAUUGCACAAUGGGCGCCAGCCUGAUGCAGCCAUGCCGCGUGUAUGAAGAAGGCCUUCGGGUUGUAAAGUACUUUCAGCGGGGAGGCGUGACCCGCAGAAGAAGCACCGGCUAACUCCGUGCCAGCAGCCGCGGUAAUUC
rnacentral:rRNA from 1 species